GAUACCUUGAUGGACUUGGUUGGAAAAUCAUAUUCAAUAAUUAUUCGCAUAUGAAUGACUAUGCAAGUUGUUUUUAUUUUUAUUACAUGUUAUUUUGUUCUCUGGUUUAGUCAGGAUCAAUUUUCUGAAAAGAUAUAUAGGAGAUAGCACUCCUUCAAGUUCAUUCUACUGCAAGUCUGCACGCGUAUAUGCUUUCCUUUAUUUCAGCUAGUUCUUUAGGCCAAUUAUUGUGGGCGUUGCGUACUGCAAUCAUUUAUUGGUUUUUUUCUGUGUUGCUUGUUCUUUUAGACACUUGCCAUUGGUACACAUAUAACUAGUCCAUUUCAGAAGAGUUCUUAGUGCCUAGCUUGAUUCCUUGCAGUUGGCUUCAAUAUAUGUUCUUCUGAUUGAGCUUAUCCUAAACUGUUCCGUAUGUUUGAGCUUCUGCAGAUUCUUACUUUACGAGCCAUGCAUCUCCCAUUCAGAUUAACACAGUAGCAAGUUGCGCGGCUGCUAGGAUAUAAACAUUCAGAAUUCCCAUUGAUUGAGAUGGUAUCUUUAGAUUGAGAUCGUAUUUGCUGGGUUUCAGGGAGACUAAGGUUUGAAGCUCAUCAGAAGGAGGUGGGGAAGAUUGUAAGUAUGUGCCCUGUGCUUAUAGAUGGCCAAAAAAGAAAAAGAAAAUCUGCAGAUAAAGGUUUUGCACUGAUAGGAUACUUGAUCCCUUCUAGUUGCCUAACAUUUCCCUCAUCCCAAGCAGAUCGAUGGGCAGUUCACUCUCCACAUGGUGGUUAGCAUCACAAUUUUCUAAUCUUGUUCUUAAUAUAUUUUAGGAAAUUAGAAUAGUUGCUGCUUCUGAACCAUAAUCUGAACUUGUCUGAAGUUCUUAGACGUGAUGUGUUUUUAAGGUGAAAAUAACAGAGCCUUUCCGGUGUGUCUCUUUGUCAGAAAGUUCCUAGCAGAACAGCUGGACAUGAACAUGAGUCCUCCAGGUUUAUUCUUUCUAAUCUGAAUUACACUUCUGCAGCAAAUCACCAUCCCAUGCAUGGCUUUCAAAAGCAGUUUAGCUUUGUAGUUUAUGAGUUUAUCCAAUUAGUAAAAGUGAUCGAUGAAGAACACACUGACCUGUCUAGUUUUUCCAUCUUCCAGCUUCUGCCUCUUAAUAGCUUGGUUUUCCUGAACAAAAUUUGGCGUCCCAGUAGAGCUACUUAAGUUGCUUGUAUCCAUGUUGAUUAUUUAUGGGUAAUCAUUUGAGAAACAAUCAUAUACUACAGCAAAGUAGCUAAAGUGUACAUAUGAAUUUUGCUGUACCUUCUAAAACCACCAGCAGGUUUAGCACUUUUCAUGUGCGACUGCAUUUUUGAUUUCGAUGCUGUUGGAUCCUUUAUUGCACUUGCCAUCCUCUUGGCCGUCUUCGGCUUCUUUAAUUGGGUAGUUGUUCGGCCUCCUUUACUCGAAAGAGCGGGUGGUUUAGGGGUGGAUACAUCUGCUGCAGUUAGAUACAUCAAAAGCCACUAUAAUAUAAAAUGCCACAGACCACCAAAGAGGUCACACUAGAAAACCAACCUUGGGAAGGGCAGGUUGCGGAACCCUCAUUGUUUCCUGGUUCAAUUUUCACACAAGGAGCAGCUGGUUUUACAGCACUGAAAUAUAACACAGGCCAUAUUAAGUGAAACCAAUCAAAGAGUCCAAAUGAAAUGGCAGUAAUUUACAGAAGAAAUCUAAAACCACAAACACACCUUUUGUAUUCUUUGCAAAUUUUCUCACAUGAUGCCUCAUAACUAAUGUGAAUGACUCUUUUCUGCAGUUGGCUGCACCAGAGGAUCAUCUUCUUCUUUUUAGCUCUCUGGACAACACUUUACGAAUUUGGGACCUCAGAAAGAAUCAAAAUCCAGAUGGCAGAUUAUGAGAAACUUAGACAGGCAAUGAUAGAAGAAAAGAGAAUAAGAAUGAAGGA